rnacentral:rRNA from 1 species
UACGUAGGGUGCAAGCGUUGUCCGGAAUUAUUGGGCGUAAAGAGCUCGUAGGCGGUCUGUCGCGUCUGCUGUGAAAACUCGGGGCUUAACCCCGGGCCUGCAGUGGGUACGGGCAGACUAGAGUGCGGUAGGGGAGACUGGAAUUCCUGGUGUAGCGGUGAAAUGCGCAGAUAUCAGGAAGAACACCCGUGGCGAAGGCGGCUCUCUGGGACGGUACUGACGCUGAGGAGCGAAAGCGUGGGGAGCGAACAGG